AGGGUCAGAGGGCAACUUUCAAGAGUUACAUCUCUCUUCCCAGCAGCUGGGCGCCGUGGAUCAAACUCAGGUCAUUAGGCCACUAAUCGAUCCCAGCAGUCCAUAAAUAAGUGGAUUUUGGAGAAGACCCAUUCAGUCUGCAGUCGUGGGGAACUGUCAGAGCUGGAAGCAGAAGGGAGAGGCCGUCCUUGAUUUGCCACCCUGACGUCUGCCCCCCAGCUGCAAGCAGAUCCACCAAGCUCCUUGUAGUACUCUGAGACCAGCCUGGGCUACGUGAGACCUGCCUCGAAGAAAAAAAAAAAGAUAGAAAAAGCCAUUCUGCUGGAGAAGCAAGCACUCAAAGCUCCCCGUUAGUCUGGGGAGGAAACACGAGCUGCUGUAGACAACGGUGCCUAGGAGUCAUGAACCUGGGCAGAGGGCAGAACCCUCGACGGCAGGUUCCUGAGAAAUGAGGCCCAGAAGCUGCUCACUAGUGCUGGAGGAUGCAAGGGGGGAUCUGAAGAGUUCAUCGUGUUUGCCGGCAAGCACUUUACCAGCUGAGCCGCAUCCCCAGCCCCACCCACUUGUGGACUUCUUCAAGUGAGCAUGUCGCUAUCCUUGGUCCUCCUAGUGAUGGGGAAGGCAGGACGGAUGGAGGCACGUUGUUGUUAGGAAGAGCCUGAGGAGGCUGCUGUGGAUCUUACUGUUUGCAUAGGAGAGGGAGGCCAUUUCCAGCUCAGGAAACAGCCUGACCACAGGCGUGGAAGAGAAUGUCUAACGGGCAGAGGGACUGGCAGGAAGUCCUGCGGCACAGGCGGAGGGGCACAGAGGACGUGGGAGUCAAUCUCACCUGUAAACACACAUUGCGCAAUCGAACGCGGCGUGAUGCCAGCUCAGAAACGUGAGCGAUUGUUGGUUUUGAAUCGGCUCUAGCUGCGUUAUGCGGUUUUUCUUUGUUCAUUUCUCACACGUUAUAGGGUGCUCUUGCCAGAGACUUGUCAAUACCCGUCUCUUCGAGGAUCCAGCUGUGGCUCCACUGAUUCGCUCUUGGUUUUAUCCUUGACAGAUCUGUUUCCUCUGUGAUUUCCCUCCUUCCUAUUUUGUUAUCAGCUACCAGUUAUCAGCCUUGGGUUUUCUGUUCUGUGGUGGGCACUGAAGGUUACGCCUCCCCGGAGCCUUGCUUUAGAAUGAAUGUCCUUCUAGGUUCAUCUCCUGAUGACCUCACUGUCUUAGUUCUGAGUAGUUUCUUGUUUCCCUUCCCUUUUCUUUCUUUCUUUUUUGUUUUUUGUGUUUUGUUUUGUUUUGAGACAAG